UAGGGAAUCUUCCGCAAUGGACGAAAGUCUGACGGAGCAACGCCGCGUGAGUGAAGAAGGAUUUCGGUUCGUAAAACUCUGUUGUUAGGGAAGAAAAAAUGUAUAGUAACUAUAUACAAAAGAGACGGUACCUAACCAGAAAGCCACGGCUAACUACGUGCCAGCAGCCGCGGUAAUACGUAGGUGGCAAGCGUUGUCCGGAAUUAUUGGGCGUAAAGCGCGCGCAGGUGGUUUAGAAAGUCUGAUGUGAAAGCCCACGGCUCAACCGUGGAGGGUCAUUGGAAACUAAUAAACUUGAGUGCAGGAGAGAAAAGUGGAAUUCCUAGUGUAGCGGUGAAAUGCGUAGAGAUUAGGAGGAAAACCGGUGGCGAAAGCGGCUUUUUGGCCUGCAACUGACACUGAGGCGCGAAAGCGUGGGGAGCAAACAGG
rnacentral:rRNA from 1 species